UCCGACUCUACCCACCGAAUAGACAGAUGACUCCGACAAUAUCCGGCCAAACAGGCCAAUACUGUUUCCAACCGAUCGAGCGGCCGAAUCCAUAUCACCGACUCACUGUUGGGGGUGGCAGCUGACAUCCGACUUCUGCAAGGCACCAGAUCAGCCGACGGUAUUUUCGAGUCAUCACCCGACGUCCUGGCAACCAAAUACUGACAUAUAGUC
rnacentral:lncRNA from 1 species